AACAUACCAUCAAAGCGUAUAACUAUGCUGCUAAACGCCAAGUCUUAAUUGCAAUUUAAGUAGGGAACUGAGAGCAUCGUUGCCAAUGUUAUAUGUUGUAAUAUUUGCAAGAAGCGCGGCUUUUUUUUCUCCUAUGCAAAACAUUGGCAACAUAAAGCAAAAAUUUACCAUAAAUUCUUGACAAUUUUUCUUGGCAUCAUUAUUGUAUUGAACAGUUGGUAGUGUGCAUCGUCGUAAAAACUAAAGUUCUUGGCCGUAGAGAGGAAAGGACAAGAAAGUUGUAAAACUUUCUUGCUACAAACUUAUUUGAGCAAAACAACGACCGAAGAAGACGCUGCUUUGUUUUUCUACGAUAAAGCUGAAGACGCAGUUUAAAAAAAAGGAAAAUGGGUGAAAAACGUGGAGCUGACAACUCUUCCAAAGAAGAAGCCAACAAAGCGGUGGUAGAGAAACGAGGACGAGGAAGACCACGGAAUGAUCCAAAUGACACUGAGAAACGCGUUGCACCCGUUAAGCCAAAAAGAGGUCCCGGUCGUCCACCCAAGGCUAAGGGUCGUGGCCGACCCAAGAAGGAUCCUGAGGAUGCCGAUGAUUAGAUGUUGUUGUAAUAGUAAGGAAUCUGACACCGCACGCUCCCUUUGAUCAAGGCUGACGUCGUGGUAUUUUAGUGACUGUUUAUUAUAUACAUAUAUAUUAAGAACUUUGUUUAUUAACUUCUUUCGUUUUUUUGUUUCAUUUUUGGAAAAUUGUAAUAAUUUGUAUUUUCAAGGAAGGAGUGGAAGAACAAACAGACUUUUAUGAUAAAUAACAACAAUUGAAUAAAUGUUUACGCUAGUUUAAUAUUCCCCUUAA